rnacentral:rRNA from 1 species
UUGCGGUUAAAAAGCUCGUAGUUGGAUUUCUGUUGAGGAUGACCGGUCCGCUCUUUGAGCGCGUAUCUGGUUCAGCCUUGGCAUCCUCUUGGGGAACGCUACUGUGCUUGAUUGCAUGGGGCGGUAUUCAAGACUUUUACUUUGAGGAAAUUAGAGUGUUCACGGCAAGCUAUCGCUUUGAAUACAUUAGCAUGGAAUAAUAAUAUAGGGCGUGAGUUCUAUUUUGUUGGUUUCUAGGACAUACGCAAUGAUUAAUAGGGACAAUUGGGGGCAUUCGUAUUAACGCGUCAGAGGUGGAAUUCUUAGAUUGCGUUACGACGAACUACUGCGAAAGCAUUUGCCAAGGAUGUUUUCAUUGAUCAAGAACGAAAGUAUGGGGAUCGAAGACGAUUAGAUACCGUCGUAGUCUAUACCAUAAACUAUGCCAAUUAGAGAUAGGUAGUCGUUCGUUUUAUGACUCUAUCUGCAUCUUAUGAGAAAUCAAAAUUUUUGGGUUCCGGGGGGAGUAUGGUCGCAAGGCUGAAACUUAAAGGAAUUGACGGAAGGGCACCACCAGGAGUGGAGCCUGCGGCUUAAAUUUGACUCAA